rnacentral:rRNA from 1 species
UACGGAGGGGGCAAGCGUUGUUCGGAGUUACUGGGCGUAAAGCGCGCGUAGGCGGUGCGGUAAGUCAGGGGUUAAAGGCUGCAGCUCAACUGCAGUAAGGCCUUUGAUACUAUCGCGCUAGAGUACCAGAGAGGAUGGCGGAAUUCCCGGUGUAGCGGUGAAAUGCGUAGAUAUCUGGAAGAACACCAGUGGCGAAGGCGGCUACUUGGUUCGCAACUGACGCUGAGGCGCGAAAGCGUGGGGAGCAAACAGG